GCCUCAUUCUGGAAUAACCAUGUGGAGAGGUCCGGUACAGUACUUUGACAUCUGGUUUGAUGGAUUCAAGUCGAACCACAAGUACGAUAUGGGGCUAUUGCAAAGAAGAGGGGUGAUCGGUACUACUUCUCAAUAACAAAGUCGUACAGAGACAUACUGUUUGGAUUUGAUGACGCGGAAGGCGAAGGCAAUUAUGCAAUUACCGGUACACCGAGUGAUCGCGGUUGG
rnacentral:lncRNA from 1 species